rnacentral:rRNA from 1 species
GUUUGACCCUGGCUCAGGAUGAACGCUGGCGGCGUGCUUAACACAUGCAAGUCGAACGCACCUUCGGGUGAGUGGCGGACGGGUGAGUAACGCGUGGGAAUCUGCCCUUAGGAGGGGGAUAACGGCUGGAAACGGCCGCUAAUACCCCAUAUGCCGAGAGGUGAAACGAAUUUCGCCUGAGGAUGAGCCCGCGUCUGAUUAGCUAGUUGGUGGGGUAAGAGCCCACCAAGGCGACGAUCAGUAGCUGGUCUGAGAGGAUGAUCAGCCACACUGGGACUGAGACACGGCCCAGACUCCUACGGGAGGCAGCAGUGGGGAAUUUUCCGCAAUGGGCGAAAGCCUGACGGAGCAACGCCGCGUGAGGGAUGAAGGCCUCUGGGCUGUAAACCUCUUUUCUCAAGGAAGAAGACAUGACGGUACUUGAGGAAUAAGCCACGGCUAAUUCCGUGCCAGCAGCCGCGGUAAUACGGGAGUGGCAAGCGUUAUCCGGAAUUAUUGGGCGUAAAGCGUCCGCAGGCGGCUCUGUAAGUCUGUUGUUAAAGCGUGGAGCUCAACUCCAUUUCAGCAAUGGAAACUACAGGGCUUGAGUGUGGUAGGGGCAGAGGGAAUUCCCGGUGUAGCGGUGAAAUGCGUAGAUAUCGGGAAGAACACCAGUGGCGAAGGCGCUCUGCUGGGCCAUAACUGACGCUCAUGGACGAAAGCCAGGGGAGCGAAAGGGAUUAGAUACCCCUGUAGUCCUGGCCGUAAACGAUGAACACUAGGUGUCGGGGGAAUCGACCCCCUCGGUGUCGUAGCCAACGCGUUAAGUGUUCCGCCUGGGGAGUACGCACGCAAGUGUGAAACUCAAAGGAAUUGACGGGGGCCCGCACAAGCGGUGGAGUAUGUGGUUUAAUUCGAUGCAACGCGAAGAACCUUACCAGGGUUUGACAUCCUGCGAAUCCCUUGGAAACUUGGGAGUGCCUUCGGGAGCGCAGAGACAGGUGGUGCAUGGCUGUCGUCAGCUCGUGUCGUGAGAUGUUGGGUUAAGUCCCGCAACGAGCGCAACCCACGUCUUUAGUUGCCAGCAUUCAGUUGGGCACUCUAGAGAGACCGCCGGUGAUAAACCGGAGGAAGGUGUGGAUGACGUCAAGUCAUCAUGCCCCUUACAUCCUGGGCUACACACGUACUACAAUGCUACGGACAGAGGGCAGCAAGCUCGCGAGAGUUAGCAAAUCCCAUAAACCGUGGCUCAGUUCAGAUCGUAGGCUGCAACUCGCCUACGUGAAGGAGGAAUCGCUAGUAAUCGCAGGUCAGCAUACUGCGGUGAAUACGUUCCCGGGCCUUGUACACACCGCCCGUCACACCAUGGAAGUUGGCCAUGCCCGAAGUCGUUACUCCAACCCUUGUGGAGGAGGACGCCGAAGGUGGGGCUGAUGACU